GUUACAGAAGUGUUGGUCUUCAGCUCAGCUGCAGCUAUGCCUCUCUCUGGCUUUGAACACUGCUGAUUUUGGACCCCAGCCUGUGGAUUGACUUUCUGACUCAACCUCAGACUUCCUUCAUCACCACAUUUUUGCUAAUGGACUGGGUGCUUGGCUGCCAUCCCCAAACCUGUCCUGCUUGCUGUGCUUGGUUGCUGCAAGGCUGCACUCUGACAGUGAGGCACCUGCCAUGUCAGCUGCGUUGUGCUUGGCUCCUGGCUCCCCAUCUUUCAGGUAGAAGAAAGAAAUGGCUGAGGAACCUGGAGCAGAAGCAGAAGACACGGAAGGAACAAGCACUCCUAUGGUGGUGUGUCCUCCUCCUGGCACGUAGCCCUGAAUACAGGGAGUCUAUCGCAAAUCUAUAUGAGGUGAUGGGGGCAGAGUGGGUUCUCUAAUUAACAGCAGCAAUAAUUACGGCUGUGCCGGUGUGGGGCGGCCGCUGUCCGUGGUGCUGGAGGCGCCGGCUCUCAGCUGCCGUCGGCUGAGAGCACGAGGGCAGAUGCCAAAAGGAGGGAAAGGAAAUGCUUCAGCUUCAAGAAAAGCCUCGUUGAAAUAGCUCAUGCCCUUCUAGCUCUGGGAUAAGGCAACCACAAAACAGAAAGCGACAGACUUUCUUGGUUCCACAGUUAUCAAAAUUACUUGUUCUCAAAAUGAUGAUUCAUCAAAAACUUCUUACAUUUUUGGACACGCCAGAUUGGAUGAUCGCUGUGGAUUCAUCAUCUCCCCAGUUUGCUCGGAGGUGUAGCUGAAGUCACAAUUGCUGUAGUCUCUGGAGGCAUUCAUCAUGAGAACUGAAUGAGUCUGUUGGAUACAUCAUGAGUCUGAGGAUACAGAUACAGUUAAGUCUCCAGUGCAGCACACCUGCAUUUGUUGUUGUUUGUUGUAGUUUGUAUUUUCUGCUUUGAGAUGAAGGAUCUUGGAGCCCAGUUUACCUGAGCAGUUGGAUAUAGCAAUUUCCUUACAGCUUUCAGCAGUGGGCAGUAGUGACA
ensembl:lncRNA